rnacentral:rRNA from 1 species
AUGGGCGUCCCGGCGUUCUACCGGUGGCUGGCGGAGAAGUACCCGAUGGUGGUGGUGGACGCGGUGGAGGAGGAGGCCGUGGAGAUCGACGGCGUGAAGGCGCCGAUCGACACGUCCAAGGCCAACCCCAACGGCCUCGAGUUCGACAGCCUCUACCUCGACAUGAACGGGAUCAUACCUACCUACUUGUACUUUAUUGGGCCCUCGCCAACGACAUUUGCUGAGGUCUUCCAGUGCAUGUUCGAUUACAUAGACAGGCUCUUUCUCAUGGUUCGCCCUCGCAAGCUUCUGUACAUGGCCAUUGAUGGUGUGGCUCCUCGUGCUAAGAUGAACCAACAACGCUCUAGAUGA